rnacentral:rRNA from 1 species
GGUGGAAAGAUUUAUCGGUGCAGGAUGGGCCCGCGGCCUAUCAGCUUGUUGGUGGGGUAAUGGCCUACCAAGGCGACGACGGGUAGCCGACCUGAGAGGGUGACCGGCCACACUGGGACUGAGACACGGCCCAGACUCCUACGGGAGGCAGCAGUGGGGAAUAUUGCACAAUGGGCGAAAGCCUGAUGCAGCGACGCCGCGUGAGGGAUGACGGCCUUCGGGUUGUAAACCUCUUUCAGCAGGGACGAAGCGCAAGUGACGGUACCUGCAGAAGAAGCACCGGCUAACUACGUGCCAGCAGCCGCGGUAAUACGUAGGGUGCAAGCGUUGUCCGGAAUUACUGGGCGUAAAGAGUUCGUAGGCGGUUUGUCGCGUCGUUUGUGAAAACCAGCAGCUCAACUGCUGGCUUGCAGGCGAUACGGGCAGACUUGAGUACUGCAGGGGAGACUGGAAUUCCUGGUGUAGCGGUGAAAUGCGCAGAUAUCAGGAGGAAC